GACGAACGCUGGCGGCGUGCUUAACACAUGCAAGUCGAACGAUGAACCCGGAGCUUGCUCUGGGGGAUUAGUGGCGAACGGGUGAGUAACACGUGAGUAACCUGCCCUGGACUCUGGGAUAAGCGUUGGAAACGACGUCUAAUACCGGAUAGGACCUUGGAUCGCAUGAUCUGGGGUGGAAAGUUUUUUCGGUCGGGGAUGGACUCGCGGCCUAUCAGCUUGUUGGUGAGGUAAUGGCUCACCAAGGCGUCGACGGGUAGCCGGCCUGAGAGGGUGACCGGCCAUACUGGGACGGAGACACGGCCCAGACUCCUACGGGAGGCAGCAGGGGGGAAUAUUGCACAAUGGGCGAAAGCCUGAUGCAGCAACGCCGCGUGCGGGAUGACGGCCGUCGGGUUGUAAACCGCUUUUAGUAGGGAAGAAGGGCUUCGGCUUGACGGUACCUGCAGAAAAAGGACCGGCUAACUACGUG
rnacentral:rRNA from 1 species